AUAAUUAAUUUUCUGCAGGUUUAAGAUUAGACGAGGACAAAAAUACCUAGUUAGAUACUAAAAUGCCAUGAAGAGAUCUCGUGGAUCUUAGUGUAGGUGCAGCACAUAGUGGAAGAUGGUCACGGGGGUGUCUAGUGCGAAAUCAACUCUUGGACAUCUUCAGUAAAUAUCGACAGAAGCUGUAAAAUGAGAUUGGAGACAAGCUUUAAAGUGAAAAGGUGUAGAUGGGAUGCCACCAUGCUCUACUUGCAUGCACAUGCACCAGCGCUCAUGCACAUGCACCAGCCCACAUGUUGUAAUC